UAACACGUGAGUAACCUGCCCCCGAGAGCGGGAUAGCCCUGGGAAACUGGGAUUAAUACCGCAUAGUAUCGAAAGAUUAAAGCAGCAAUGCGCUUGGGGAUGGGCUCGCGGCCUAUUAGUUAGUUGGUGAGGUAACGGCUCACCAAGGCGAUGACGGGUAGCCGGUCUGAGAGGAUGUCCGGCCACACUGGAACUGAGACACGGUCCAGACACCUACGGGUGGCAGCAGUCGAGAAUCAUUCACAAUGGGGGAAACCCUGAUGGUGCGACGCCGCGUGGGGGAAUGAAGGUCUUCGGAUUGUAAACCCCUGUCAUGUGGGAGCAAAUUAAAAAGAUAGUACCACAAGAGGAAGAGACGGCUAACUCUGUGCCAGCAGCCGCGGUAAUACAGAGGUCUCAAGCGUUGUUCGGAAUCACUGGGCGUAAAGCGUGCGUAGGCUGUUUCGUAAGUCGUGUGUGAAAGGCGCGGGCUCAACCCGCGGACGGCACAUGAUACUGCGAGACUAGAGUAAUGGAGGGGGAACCGGAAUUCUCGGUGUAGCAGUGAAAUGCGUAGAUAUCGAGAGGAACACUCGUGGCGAAGGCGGGUUCCUGGACAUUAACUGACGCUGAGGCACGAAGGCCAGGGGGGCGAAAGGGAUUAGAUACCCCUGUAGUCCUGGCAGUAAACGGUGCACGCUUGGUGU
rnacentral:rRNA from 1 species